CAUCAUCCAAAACAUAAACUUACAACCAGAAAAGGAGCAAGCAAGUCUAGGGCACAACACCCAUAACCAUCAUAAGAAAACACCAAGUUGUUUCAAAUGCAACUGCCAAGAGAGUUUGCUUAUUUAUGCAUAUUAUACAAGACUAAUUAUACAUAAAAACCACACUGCCACCGUUGUUCACUGAAGAACAAGGCACUCAGAGGCAGUCCCGUUGGUGAUAGGACCUCCAUGGGUUCGGUUGCUUUUCUGGUUAACACUGCCACUAGGGUUGUCCUGUUCAACUACGGUUCCUUCAAGCUCCUCCUCUUGGUAACUACAACCUAUGGCUUCAAAGAUGAGAGCAUUAACCUCCUUGAACCUUUCCUCUGACAAA
rnacentral:lncRNA from 1 species